rnacentral:tRNA from 1 species
GGAGAGGUGACCGAGUGGCUGAAGGUGCACGCCUGGAACGCGUGUGUACGAGAGUACCGAGAGUUCGAAUCUCUCCCUCUCCGCCA